GACGAACGCUGGCGGCGUGCUUAACACAUGCAAGUCGAACGGAAAGACCCUGCUUUUGUGGGGUGCUCGAGUGGCGAACGGGUGAGUAACACGUGAGUAACCUGCCCUUGACUUUGGGAUAACUUCAGGAAACUGGGGCUAAUACCGGAUAGGAGCUCCUGCUGCAUGGGGGGGGUUGGAAAGUUUCGGCGGUUGGGGAUGGACUCGCGGCUUAUCAGCUUGUUGGUGGGGUAGGGGCUUACCAAGGCUUUGACGGGUAGCCGGCCUGAGAGGGUGACCGGCCACAUUGGGACUGAGAUACGGACCAGACUCCUACGGGAGGCAGCAGUGGGGAAUAUUGCACAAUGGGCGGAAGCCUGAUGCAGCAACGCCGCGUGCGGGAUGACGUCUUUCGGGUUGUAAACCGCUUUCGACUGUGACGAAGCGUGAGUGACGGUAAUGGGUAAAGAAGCACCGGCUAACUACGUG
rnacentral:rRNA from 1 species